UACGGAGGGAGCUAGCGUUGUUCGGAAUUACUGGGCGUAAAGCGCGUGUAGGCGGCUUUGCAAGUCGGGUGUGAAAGCCCUCAGCUCAACUGAGGAAGUGCGCCCGAAACUGCAGAGCUUGAGUGCCGGAGAGGGUGGCGGGAAUUCCCCAAGUAGAGGUGAAAAUUCGUAGAUAUGGGGGAGGAACACCGGUGGCGAAGGCGGCCACCUGGACGGUAACUGACGCUGAGACGCGAAAGCGUGGGGAGCAAACAGG
rnacentral:rRNA from 1 species